rnacentral:rRNA from 1 species
GACGAACGCUGGCGGCGUGCCUAACACAUGCAAGUCGAACGGAAAGGCCCUGCUUUUGUGGGGUGCUCGAGUGGCGAACGGGUGAGUAACACGUGAGUAACCUGCCCUCGACUUUGGGAUAACUUCAGGUAACUGGGGCUAAUACCGGAUAGGAGCUCCCGCUGCAUGGUGGGGGUUGGAAAGUUUCGGCGGUUGGGGAUGGACUCGCGGCUUAUCAGCUUGUUGGUGGGGUAGUGGCUUACCAAGGCUUUGACGGGUAGCCGGCCUGGGAGGGUGACCGGCCACAUGGGGACUGAGAUACGGCCCAGACUCCUACGGGAGGCAGCAGUGGGGAAUAUUGCACAAUGGGCGGAAGCCUGAGGCAACAACGCCGCGUGCGGGAUGACGGCCUUCGGGUUGUGAACCACUUUCGCCUGUGACGAAGCGGGAGUGACGGUAAUGGGUAAAGAAGCACCGGCUAACUACGUG